rnacentral:tRNA from 1 species
GCGGAUGUGGUGGAAUUGGUAGACACGCUAGAUUCAGGUUCUAGUGUCCGCAAGGUCAUGGAGGUUCAAGUCCUCUCAUCCGCA